UGGAUGAUGUGGUUUAAUUCGAUGCAACGCGAAAACCUUACCCACCUUUGACAUGUACGGAAUCCUUUAGAGAUAGAGGAGUGCUCGAAAGAGAGCCGUAACACAGGUGCUGCAUGGCUGUCGUCAGCUCGUGUCGUGAGAUGUUGGGUUAAGUCCCGCAACGAGCGCAACCCUUGUCAUUAGUUGCUACAUUCAGUUGGGCACUCUAAUGAGACUGCCGGUGACAAACCGGAGGAAGGUGGGGAUGACGUCAAGUCCUCAUGGCCCUUAUAGGUGGGGCUACACACGUCAUACAAUGGAUGGUACAAAGGGUCGCCAACCCGCGAGGGGGAGCCAAUCCCAUAAAGCCAUUCGUAGUCCGGAUCGCAGUCUGCAACUCGACUGCGUGAAGUCGGAAUCGCUAGUAAUCGUGGAUCAGAAUGUCACGGUGAAUACGUUCCCGGGUCUU
rnacentral:rRNA from 1 species